UACGGGGGGGGCAAGCGUUGUUCGGAAUUACUGGGCGUAAAGGGCGCGUAGGCGGCAUGGCAAGUCGGGAGUGAAAGCCCGGGGCUCAACCCCGGAACUGCUUUCGAAACUGCCAAGCUAGAGUGCGGAAGAGGCAACUGGAAUUCCCAGUGUAGCGGUGAAAUGCGUAGAUAUUGGGAAGAACACCGGAGGCGAAGGCGGGUUGCUGGGCCGACACUGACGCUGAUGCGCGAAAGCCAGGGGAGCGAACGGG
rnacentral:rRNA from 1 species